rfam:Proteobacteria bacterium Nonnen-W8red strain MWH-Nonnen-W8red genome.
ACUGCAACUUGGCAUUGGGUUCUUGGAUAUGCUGUGUAGGAUAGGUGGGAGGCUUUGAGCCCGUGGCGCUAGCUGCGGGGGAGCCAUCGUUGAAAUACCACCCUGCAUGUCUGAGAAUUCUAACCUCGAACCCUGACCGGGUUCAGGAACAGUGCCUGGCGGGCAGUUUGACUGGGGCGGUCGCCUCCCAAAAUGUAACGGAGGCGCGCGAAGGUUACCUCAGCCUGGAUAGAAACCAGGCGUCGAGCGCAAGAGCAGAUGGUAGCCUCACUGAGAGACCGACAGGUCGAACAGACACGAAAGUGGGUUCUAGUGAUCCGGUGGCCCCGUAUGGAANNNNNNNNNNNNNNN